UUCGUAUAUCAACCUUGGUUAGGGUUGGAUGUGGCUGUUCAAUACACCGUCGUCUAUGGAUGGGGAAUGUCAGCUUAAAUGUCAGUCGAUGGUGCCAUGCGCACCUCCCUAUAAGUAUAUAGGGAGGUGCAUAGGCGCAUCCAUUGUGUGCUAGCUGCCUGUGUUACGGGUGGAUGCGCAAUGGGAUGCGUGUGUGCAUCGGGGCAUGCCCAUCACAUCAUAUGCAACAUAU
rnacentral:misc_RNA from 1 species